AGUGCAGACAGGCAGCGGGCAUGCUGACCGCGGGCGCUGCUGUGCUCACAGGUGCCCUGCGCUCACAGGGGAUGCUCUGAGUGGUCCAGGUUCAAAGUGAGCAGCCGUGAAGCUCUCCUGGGAGACCGAGCCAGCGAUUCGUCUUCCCAAAGAAGAUCUGAGCAAUGAACCCUAGAAUCUGUAGAUUAGAAGGGAUGGUAUGGACAGCCUGCCUCACCCUGCAGCUGCGCAUCUGCGUGAAGUGUCUGGAUGCUUCCCAUGGAGACUUUCUCAACAUAGGACCCUUGACCCACCUGCUUGAGGAUCGCCUGUGAUCUUGUCAAAAUGCACAUUCUAUGUCUGCACCCCUGUUCCACUGACUUGGACACUUGAUCAUCAGGAGAGUCCUCUGUGACUCAAAGAUAAGGGAAAAAUAGCACAAGGCAGUCCAUUUCAUCCUGGGAAACUCAUUAUUAGAAAGAUACUGGAAUGUUACACUCAAAAAUUAAACAGCAACAAGAACAGAGAUAGGAAAAAAAAUCAAAAUAGCUGAAUCUCCCUGUCUCACUCCUGGUCGUAAGGCAGAGAGCUACGGUCUUGUGGUCUCUGUGGUCCUACAAUCCUGUGGUCCAUGUUGUCCUCGGGUCCUGUGGUCCUGUGAUUCAUGUGGUUCUGUGGUCCACGUGCUUCUGUAAUAAAGCGUGAUGCCUUGGCAACAGAGGACAGUA